AGGUGUGGGAUGUGGUGCACUGUU
rnacentral:miRNA from 1 species